rnacentral:tRNA from 1 species
GCCCUUGUAGCUCAAUGGAUAGAGCGCCGGUUUCCUAAACCGGGCGUCGUUGGUUCGAUUCCAACCUUGGGUA